UGAAACCGCUUAGGGGUUAAGCCCGAUGAACCUGAAUAUCUGAAUUGAGAAAUUCAAUGUUUUUAAUUAUUUUUUUAAAUGGUUGAAUUCAUGCACUUUUCUCAUAGUAGGACAUUGCGAUCCAUUAGUAGUCUUUUUAAGACGGUUUAUCAAACGGCCCGUAUAGUCAGUUUGCUCUACCUGUAAUACUUGCUAUUAUAUGGGCAAUGCUAUGUGGUGACCUGGUAAACAGCUGAUGGAGCUUAUAAAUCAUGCCAACAUGCAUAUGUAUCACGGUUUAUUUAUUUUAUAUAUUUGAAUGCAGUGAUCGCAUGUAUUUGAUUAGCAAUGCGAUAGAUUUGGGAUACCUUCGGGACCCGUCUUGAAACACGGACCAAGAAGUCUAACAUGUGUGUGAGUCAUUGGGUAUUUAAUGAAACCUAAAGGCGAAAUUAAAAUAACUAUUUUAAUGGGAUUACAAGCAAUUUUAUAUAAUUGUUUCUCCAUCCCGGGGCGUUCUGUCUGAACAUGGUUUAAGCAAUUAGACCCUCUGUUCUAGAGCGUACCUUGAACAUACAUGCUGUGACCCGAAAGAUGGUGAACUAUACCUGAUCAGGUUGAAGUCA
rnacentral:rRNA from 1 species